CAGAUCUAGCCUCGGUCUCUUGGAAGAAAAACUGUUGGCGAAGACAGACGUGCUAUUUUUGUCCAGUCCAAGUAUAAAGAAAAAAAAAGAGGAAUAAAAACCGGGAAAAGAUCUUAACAGCUGAAUACAGCAAAAAGAAAGAAAUAUUGUGCGUUUAUAAAGUAAAAGUGUGUUAAGUGCCAAUCUCAAUUGAUUGGCGGUUAGUACCGGCUUAAACUUCGGGCAAUCGUUUGGGUACCUGUCUGAACCCCAAUACGAAAGCUCGCAACAACAAUUUCCCCGAUAUUAGGGCCUCCGCCCGCGGCAAGGGACUUAUGCUCCUCGCCCAACUACAGCUCCGUACCAAAAAUUCCCAGCGCUAGGCCGAGCAGCACAAAGCGGGAGGCGUAAAAGAUCGGCUCAUCAGUCGCUUUGCGGGCGCGAGCCACUUAUGUGUCACGGACCCGCGAUAUAUUGGAGGCCGUCCAAUUCUGCGGAAAUUAUUAAAGCUAUGUAAACGGUCAGCCAAUUUCUACCCGAAAUAUAGAUCUGGGUCUCGACCUAUUUUCGUUUCCCCAUACGAAGUGCCGAGGAGUGCCCAGAUGUGAAGCCGGCGGCAACGACUGUCGUUUUUUUUUUUAUAUCCAUCAGUGUAACCGCUGAUUCCUAUUUUUAUGCUAUAGUGUCAUUAGUGUAAUUAGCUUAGUAAAUUUCUUUUGGUUGUGUUUUUAAAUUCUGUUCGGAAGAAAUAGCAAGUGGAAUGUGUGACAGGGCGAAAGUGAACAACGGUUAAACGGCAGAGGAGAGCGUGAGUUUUUUUUGUAAAAGUAUUUCUCCAGCUUUCGUUUUAGGAACGUUGCCGCAGUCCAUGGAAGCGCUUUCAUCGCUGUUUCAACGAAUUUAUUAAAACAAAUCAAAGGAAGGCCUCAGGGGCUUCGUCGCUUAAGAGAGGCUGUGCGCUCUCCCUUAUGCCCUGCUGGCAACCAUAAGCGCUUACGCCGCGCAUAAGAACCAGCCCUCUUAAGAACAAGGCACAAAAGGGAAGAUGCGAGGCUGGUCGCUCUGACGUUCUUUUAUGCUUUCUACUUGCGGUUGCUUUCGCUAAUGCACUUGAAUUACUGACCUGCCAUAACGAUCGCGGCGCACAGUUUUUACAUUCCCUUUUGCAUAUUUAUUUAUUAUUAUUAUCUAUUUGCCUAACAUAAAAGCUGGAGAUAUGUACCCUUCCCUUCUUUCAAUUUGUAAGUUAAAUUUCAAUCUAAAGUGUAUUAUUAAGAGUUAAUCAUUUAUUAGUUUACUAGUGCGAUGCAUGUGCUAUUGCUCAAUAUGAAAUAUAGGAUUUAACAUGAA